rnacentral:tRNA from 1 species
AACUAAACAAUUCGUGAGGGUUCAAGUCCCUCUAUCCCCAAAA